rnacentral:ncRNA from 1 species
AAUAAAGCGUCGAAAGAGAAAUAGUAGAUAUCUGUGGUGACAAAAGAGAACUUGCGAGUGGUGAAAGCAAGUCGGACACAAAUGUUGAAUUACCCUCUGGAGCAGAUCUUGUAAUACAAGAUACGGGUUCUCCCGUAAUAGAGAAAGAGUGUGUCACCCUAGUGGUAAACAGAGCACUAAUUAAGUUCAUCAUUGCAAGAUGAUGAAGAAACAAGGUGGUACCGUCUUUUUAAAAGGCCCUUGUC